GAAUGCUCGGUAGCGUGCGAGUUUACCCCUAUCAGGAUGUUUGUUUGCAUAUCCCUCCAAGCGAGAGGGCUUGGUCCAAGCGAGAGGGCUUGGACCUAUGCUGAUGUUCGUUCCAAGAAGUGAACUGAGGACUGAUGCUACGGUGAAAGGUAUGCACGUAAAUUCGCCCGUGCGCCAAACGCCCUGUAACUCGCUUACGCUAAUCUCACAUUCCAAUAUGCCACUGCACUUUCUUCUCCAGCCUGGCCACAUUCUCUUCCUCGCAAACGUACUUGGGCACCUUACAAUCCAACACCAUACGGGCUUUGGAAACGCGGGCAGCUGCUUCACAAGGACCCCCCCCAUGUGUCCGGUCGUACUUCGCGAAUAAACCGUUCGUACAUCGUCCAAAAAAGCCAGGAGCGAAAUUCACCGCGCGGAUGCGCGCGUGGGAUUCACAAAAUGCGCCUGUACAAGUGUAUAUAUUUUUUCUUGGCGGAAAGGACCAGGCGCGCCAGCGCGUUGCGCAGGUGGGCAUGUUGGCCAAAGCCGCACGCGGCAUGCAUGCUGGACUAUUGCGUGGCUGCUUUGCAGUAACUAAAAGCACCGAAAGCCAACGUCGUAGCUUGCAACUCUGGGCUCGUGAAACUGCCGCGGAAGAUGAAGCGCUGGCGAAGAGGCAAUUGUAUGCAGCACCUUGUUCAGAGUAAAGUCAAAUUACAAAGUUGCGCAAAGUAUAACAUACAUAAACUUCAUUAAACAUAAGAACAGAUAAGACGUUUAGAGCCUUGUCGGUGACAUGGACGCCGCUGUUGGCUUGGAACAGCUAUUUGCUGUGCAUAGGGACGUGCCCGCGUUAGCCGUGUUGCAACAGUCUCAGGAUGGAUUUCAGCCAGCAACAGCCUCAAGAGCUGCUGCACAACCACCGGGAAUGUCUUCAGUUGAGCACGUGUAGUUUUGGUCGGCGGGGUCGAGCAACGUACGCAAUGCGCACAGAAACCAAGGUGCAGCGUUCUGUAACAUCGCCAACAUAUCCGGUACGCGGUGGCAGGCUUGCCGAACUCGAAAUGAAGGGGGGGUCGCAUCUCACCAUUCAACUAAGCAUGCAUGUGCUCGGUUGAAUGCUCGGUAGCGUGCGAGUUUACCCCUAUUAGGAUGCUUGUUUGCAUAUCCCUCCAAGCGAGAGGGCUUGGACCUAUGCUGAUGUUCGUUCCAAGAAGUGAACUGAGGACUGAUGCUACGGUGAAAGAUUUGCACGUAAAUUCGCCCGUGCAAUAAAUCGCCCUGUAACUCGCUUACGCUAAUCUCACAUUCCAAUAUGCCACUGCACUUUCCUCUCCAGCCUGGCCACAUUCUCUUCCUCGCAAACGUACUUGGGCACCUUACAAUCCAACACCAUACGGGCUUUGGAAACGCGGGCAGCUGCUUCACAAGGACCCCCCUAUUUUAAGCAGCCCCUCGCACAAAUGUGUCCGGUCGUACUUCGCGAAUAAAGUGUUCGUACAUCGUCCCAAAAAAGCCAGGAGCGAAUUUUGCCGCGCAGAUGCGCGCGUGCGAUUCACAAAAUGCGCCUGUACAAGUGUAUAUAAAUUUUCUUGGCGGAUGAGGACCACGUGCGCCAGCGCGUUGCGCAAGUGGGCAUGUUGGCCAUAGCCGCACGCGGCAUGCAUGCUGGACUAUUGCCUGGAUGCUUUGCAGUAACUGAAAGCACCCAAUGCCAACGUCCUAGCUUGCAACUCUGGGCUCGUGAAACUGCCGCGGAAGAUGAAGCGCUGGCGAAGAGGCAGUUGUAUGCAGCACCUUGUUCAGAGUAAAGUCAAAUUACAAAGUUGCGCAAAGUAUAACAUACAUAAACUUCAUUAAACAUAAGAACAGAUAAGACGUUUAGAGCCUUGUCGGUGACAUGGACGCCGCUGUUGGCUUGGAACAGCUAUUUGCUGUGCAUAGGGACGUGCCCGCGUUAGCCGUGUUGCAACAGCUCAGGAUGGAUUUCAGCCAGCAACAGCCUCGAGAGCUGCUGCACAACCACCGGGAAUGUCUUCAGUUGGGCACGUGUAGUUUUGGUCGGCGGGGUCGAGCAUCGUACGCAUUGCGCACAGAAACCAAGGUCCAGCGUUCUGUAACAUCGCCAACAUAUCCGGUACGCGGUGGCAGGCUUGCCGAGCACGAAAUGAAGGGGGGGUCGCAUCUCACCAUUCAACUAAGCAUGCAUGUGCUCGGUUGAAUGCUCGGUAGCGUGCGAGUUUACCCCUAUCAGGAUGUUUGUUUGCAUAUCCCCCCAAGCGAGAGGGCUUGCACCUAUGCUGAUGUUCGUUCCAAGAAGUGAACUGAGGACUGAUGCUACGGUGAAAGAUUUGCACGUAAACUCGCCCGUGCAAUAAAACGCCCUGUAACUCGCUUACGCUAAUCCCACAUUCCAAUAUGCCACUGCACUUUCCUCUCCAACCUGGCCACAUUCUCUUCCUCGCAAACGUACUUGGGCACCUUACAAUCCAACACCAUACGUGCUUUGGAAACGCGGGCAGCUGCUUCACAAGGACCCCCCUAUUUGUAACGAGUACGUGUAGAUAAUAAGCGUCGUACAUCUUAUGACUUCGAGUCAAAUCACGAUGUAAUUUGCAUCAUCCACACAAAUACCUUAGUCACCGGUGAGGAAACGGAAGCAGAAUGGGUGGGGACGAGAUGCCCUGUAAACAACAGAGAUCCUUCAGACUUGCCGUGUACAGAACAGCUCCGGAGAGAGGUACCUGCAAAAUGACGGGGCGGACGAAUCUUUCCGCGACUCCGAAUUGGAAGAAGUAUACCG
rnacentral:lncRNA from 1 species